rnacentral:rRNA from 1 species
CUUGGUGAUUAUAGCGAGAGGCCUAAACUCGAUCCCAUCCCGAACUCGACCGUUAAACUUCUCAGCGCCGAUGGUACUGCAUCUUAAGGUGUGGAAGAGUAGGUCGUUGCCAGGC